UACGUAGGGGGCAAGCGUUGUCCGGAUUUAUUGGGCGUAAAGAGCGUGUAGGCGGCCAGACAGGUCCGUUGUGAAAACUCGAGGCUCAACCUCGAGACGUCGGUUGAAACCGUAAGGCUAGAGUCCGGAAGAGGAGAGUGGAAUUCCCGGUGUAGCGGUGAAAUGCGCAGAUAUCGGGAAGAACACCCGUGGCGAAGGCGGCUCUCUGGGACGGUACUGACGCUGAGACGCGAAAGCGUGGGGAGCGAACGAGG
rnacentral:rRNA from 1 species